GAUGAACGCUGGCGGCGUGCUUAACACAUGCAAGUCGAACGAAAAGGCCCUGAUUUUGUGGGGUGCUCGAGUGGCGAACGGGUGAGUAACACGUGAGUAACCUGCACUUGACUUUGGGAUAACUUCAGGAAACUGGGGCUAAUACCGGAUAGGAGCUCCUGAUGCAUGGUGGGCGUUGGAAAGUGUCGGCGGUUGGGGCUGGAUUCGCGGGUUAUCAGCUUGUUGGUGGGGUAGUGGCUGUCCAAGGCUACGACGGGUAGGCGGCCUGGGAGCGUGACCGGCGACCAGGGGACUGAGAGACGGCGCAGACUCGUACGGGCGGCAGAAGUGGGGAGUAUUGCGCAGUGGGCGGACGCCUGAGGCAGCAGCGCUGCGAGCGGGAUGAUGUGCUUCGAGUGGUAAACCGAUUUGUCCGGUGAUAAAGCGUGAUUGACGGUAAUGGGUAAAGAAGCCCCGGCUAACUACGUG
rnacentral:rRNA from 1 species